rnacentral:rRNA from 1 species
AUGCAAGUCGUACGGGCUCGGCUUCGGCCGGGCCAGUGGCGCAAGGGUGAGUAAGGCGACGGUAACCAACCCCAUGGGUGGGUAUAGCCGCGGGAAACUGCGGGUAAUCCCCAGCGAUGCAGGCGGCUGGCAUCAGCGGCCUGCCAAAGCUCCGGCGCCGUGGGACGGGCCGUCGUGGUAUUAGGUAGUUGGUGGGGUAACGGCCCACCAAGCCGACGAUGCCUACCGGGCGUGCGAGCGUGGCCCGGCACACUGGGACUGAGACACUGCCCAGACUCCUACGGGAGGCUGCAGUCGAGAAUCUUCGGCAAUGGGCGCAAGCCUGACCGAGCGACGCCGCGUGGAGGACGAAGGCCUUCGGGUUGUAAACUCCUGUCGAGGGGAAAGAAGGUGCCGCAAGGCACUUGACUGAUCCCUGGAGGAAGCACGGGCUAAGUUCGUGCCAGCAGCCGCGGUAAGACGAACCGUGCAAACGUUAUUCGGAAUCACUGGGCUUAAAGCGCGUGUAGGCGGGAAGGCACGUCUGUCGCUGAAAUCCCCCGGCUCAACCGGGGAAACG